CUGGGAUACUGGAGGUCCGCCGCGCGCCUCCUGUGGGGUUAGCAGCCCUUCAGUUGGAAAGGCUGCUCGUGUUCUUGUCUGUGUUGUACCUCUGCGGCCUUAACGCGAGUCUCUGAAAUGACAAACUGGAUGUCAGGGAAGAAAUGGUGAGGGGCUGCUUAAUGGCCAAUAUCUGGAGAAAGGACCAAUUUCAAAGGCAUCUUCGUUUUGACUUCGGAAGGACACAGACAUUUAAGCAGCAUCAGUCAUGUUCCAAGCACUGGAAAAUACACAGAUGAGCAAGUCCCAGACCUCAAGAAGAAUAUAACUUCAGGAA